AUGCUUACUUAGGCAGCUUAUAUACUAAAAUUGGAAUGAUACAGAGAGGAUUUCGUGGCCCCUGUGCAAGGACGACAUGAAAAUUCAUGAAGCAUUUCAUAUUUUU
rnacentral:snRNA from 1 species